GGUCCCAAGGGUUGGGCUGUUCGCCCAUUAAAGCGGUACGCGAGCUGGGUUCAGAACGUCGUGAGACAGUUCGGUCCCUAUCCGUCGUGGGCGUAGGAAAUUUGAGAGGAGCUGUCCUUAGUACGAGAGGACCGGGAUGGACAUACCUCUGGUGUACCAGUUGUCGUGCCAACGGCAUAGCUGGGUAGCUAUGUAUGGACGGGAUAAGUGCUGAAAGCAUCUAAGCAUGAAGCCCCCCUCAAGAUGAGAUUUCCCAACUUCGGUUAUAAGAUCCCUCGAAGAUGACGAGGUUAAUAGGUUCGAGGUGGAAGCGUGGUGACACGUGGAGCUGACGAAUACUAAUCGAUCGAAGACUUAAUCAAUUUUUAAA
rnacentral:rRNA from 1 species